rnacentral:rRNA from 1 species
GAUGAACGCUGGCGGCGUGCCUAAUACAUGCAAGUCGAGCGAACAGAUGAGGAGCUUGCUCCUCUGACGUUAGCGGCGGAAGGGUGAGUAACACGUGGAUAACCUACCUAUAAGACUGGGAUAACUUCGGGAAACCGGAGCUAAUACCGGGUAAUAGAUUGAACCGCAUGGUUCAAUAGUGAAAGACGGGUUUGCUGUCACUUAUAGAUGGAUCCGCGCCGCAUUAGCUAGUUGGUAAGGUAACUGCUUAUCAAGGCAACGAUGCGUAGCCGACCUGAGAGGGUGAUGCGCCACACUGGAACUGAGACACGGUCCAGACUCCUACGGGAGGCAGCAGUAGGGAAUCUUCCGCGAUGGGCGAAAGCCUGACGGAGCAACGCCGCGUGAGUGAUGAAGGUCUUCGGAUCGUAAAACUCUGUUAUAGGGAAAGAACAAAUAUGUAAGUAACUAUGCACGUCUUGACGGUACCUAAUCAGAAAGCCACGGCUAACUACGUG